rnacentral:rRNA from 1 species
CUUUAUUGGAGAGUUUGAUCCUGGCUCAGGACGAACGCUGGCGGCGUGCCUAAUACAUGCAAGUCGAGCGGAGU